rnacentral:ncRNA from 1 species
GUGUUCCUGCCGCCGGGCGGGAACGGGAGUGUUUGCUCUGCGUCGUAGGCCUUAGAAGACGCGGGCAGGCGCAUUUUUUAUU